rnacentral:rRNA from 1 species
UACGGAGGGUGCAAGCGUUGCUCGGAAUUACUGGGCGUAAAGCGCGUGUAGGCGGUUUCGUGUGUCUGAUGUGAAAGCCCCGGGCUCAACCUGGGAACUGCAUUGGAAACUAACGGGCUCGAGUGUGGCAGAGGGGGGUGGAAUUCCACGUGUAGCAGUGAAAUGCGUAGAGAUGUGGAGGAACACCGAUGGCGAAGGCAGCCCCCUGGGCUAACACUGACGCUCAGGCACGAAAGCGUGGGGAGCAAACAGG